CAUUCUUAAACUAUUCUCUUGUGUAUGUACACGUUCAAACAAAUUUAUAAUGGACACUGUAUUAAGGAAACACAUCAUUGUCAUAACAUGAUACAAUAUAAUAAGAUCUAAAAUUCCUCAAACAAUAGUAAAUAGUAACCACAUUAUUGAUCUUGUCUUAUAUAAACAUUGAGUUUUAUGAUGGUGCUAAGAAUUUGAUCGAGUUGGACUCCAAUGUUAAUGUUGAAUGAGCAAACAAAAAAGUGCUAAUUUUAUCGAGCUAUAAACACAUUCGAAGCAAAUCAAAGACAUACUUGUCCAUUAAUGAUUGUCCAAGCAGUCAAGUACAUAUGGUCAUCUAAUGACUCACAUGGUUUCAUACAUAAGUUUAUACAUGAACAAUAAACGCCAAUCCAAAGUACAUUAUCCAUGUUUCUUUGACCAUUUAUCCACAUGUGUACAGAUACUCCUAUCAGUAUAUAGCAUUUAGUCACAAUUUAGUCAGUUACGUAGCUCUUAUAAAGAAUGUAACGAAGACCUUGUUUGCACUACACUCUUAAGAAGCAAAUUUUAUUGAUCUUAACAUUAGUUCACUACCUAAUUGGAUAUUUCCUGGACUUCCAUUCAAACAUUCAGACAUUAUAUAGAGAGGAUGGAAAAUUAAAUUUCAAAACGAAGGCUUAUCUUCGUUAUAGCAAACUGAUAAUCUCUUAAAAGAACACUCCUAUUCACUAAAACACCAAACAUACAAACACAUAAUUCAUCACCAUACCACAACUUACAAAGA
rnacentral:sRNA from 1 species